rnacentral:rRNA from 1 species
AUGGGCGCCGCUGGCACGAUGGUGUGCCUGCUCGGUAUGGCCAUUAAGAGCGACUUCGGGGUGCUGCGGAGCGAGGCGGCGACGUUCGGGCUCGGCGAGACCAACUACUACCUGGUGCUCGUGUGGGACGCCGUGUCGUGGCAGCUGCUCAACCUGGGCAUCAUGGGGCUCAUCACCUGCGCCUCCUCGCUCCUCGCCGGCAUCAUGAUCGCCGUCCUCCUGCCGCUCUCCGAGAUCCUCGCCGUCCUCUUCCUCCACGAGAAGUUCGACGGGCCAAAGGGCAUCGCGCUCGUGCUGUCCCUAUGGGGCUUCGCCUCCUACAUGUACGGCGAAAAGGUCCAGCAGAAGAAGGCGGCGGCGCAGAAGAACCAGCUGCUGCAGCAGCAGAUGGCGAGGAAAACCGGAGACCUGGAGCUGGCUACCCCUUGA